CAGAUUCCUGUGCAUUGACUUUGUACCCUGCCAUAGUACUGAAUUCCUCUACCAGUUCCACCCAUCUUAGGGUGGAGUCUUUUGGGUUUUGUACAUACAGUAUCCUGUCAUCUGCAGAUGAUAAAAGUUUGACUUCUUCUUUGACCAUUUGAAUGCCUUUUGUUUCUUUUUGUUGUCAUAUUCCUGAGGCUGGGACUUCUAGCACUAUGUCAAACAACAGCGGUGAGAAUGGGCAUCCCUGUUGAGUUCCUAACCUUAGGGGAAAAACUUACUUUUUUCCUGCUAAGUGCCACAGGUGGCCAUGUAGACAGACAGUAGCCCACACCGCAUCACAAAGGCCCAUGCUGUGUAGAUGUGCAUUCACUCUGGAAGUUAUACAAUGGCCCGUUACCAUGGGGAUGUGAUGAUGCGCACAAUCCCUUAAUUUCCCACUGUUACUCUCAGAGCUGAGCAGUACCAGUGUGGUAAUAGUUGUGGAGCUCCCCACGAUGGGAAAUCUGAACUGUUGCUCUUCAGAAUUUUGCUCGGACUGCAGAAGAGGAAACGUGCUGGACACACCAAGAACAUCACCUUCUGUCCUCAAAAGGCAGACCAGGCAAGGCCGCUUCUGGCCCCGCAAUAGGGUCAAUCCUGCAGCGGACACAGAGGAAGAGGGCCCACUGGAGGUUUCUCCUGAUGGCGGGGCAGAGGAAGGGGCCCCAUAUCUCCCCAAGGUGGAUGCAGGAGGAAAGGAGAGCUUUCCCACUGAGGACCUGAUAGCCGAUCUUCCUCCUGCCACCGAAGAGGAAGAAGCCCCAAAAGUCUCUGAGGUGAAUGCAGGCAGGAAGGAAAAUGAUCCUUUCUUUAUCAAGAUCCAUUUUCCGUGUCAGAAUAUAAGGAUGGAAGAAGAUUUGUGUGUGGAGAACCUUGAGGAUUGA
rnacentral:lncRNA from 12 species